CAGUAGCCACGGUAAUACGUAGGGGGCAAGCGUUAUCCGGAUUUACUGGGUGUAAAGGGAGCGCAGACGGCAGUGCAAGUCUGAAGUUAAAGGCUGUGGCUUAACCAUAGUACGCUUUGGAAACUGUUUAACUUGAGUGCAAGAGGGGAGAGUGGAAUUCCAUGUGUAGCGGUGAAAUGCGUAGAUAUAUGGAGGAACACCGGUGGCGAAAGCGGCUCUCUGGCUUGUAACUGACGCUGAGGCUCGAAAGCGUGGGGCGCAAACAGGAUUAGAUACCCCAGUAGUCCCUGUCUCUUAUACA
rnacentral:rRNA from 1 species